UCGCGCCAUCUGGUGCCACGAGCGUGAAAAACUGUUGUAAACAUACGAUGCAAAUGUUCGCGAUCAUUGUCGUUUUACAUUUUACAUUUUACAUUUACAUUUGACAUGAUGGCAUACACGUCAUUCGUGUAAUCACACGUGUAAUAAUUAGUAGUAAUUCGUGCAAUAAAUCGUGUGAUCCAACAGCUGGAAUAUUAACACUAAGCUUAGCAGGCCUGGUGAAAUAACUGGUUUCAAAGUUUAUUUAAAAAUUGUUUACAGGCAUUCCGAUUGCGUCGAAUCUGAUAUGAUAAAAUAUAAUCUAAUAUAAUAAAAUGUACCACAUAUAUAGCAACCUUCGAGACUAGAAAGCUUCGAAGGAAAUGAAUUUCGAUAUAUAUCUGUCUCGUUAAAUGGAAGAAAGCCAGUAGAAAUGGUAGAAGAAAAAUGUAAAAGAUUAAUUUUUCUCAUGACGCAUCACGUAAGCCUGAUGUUGACAAAAAUAGAGAAAUUGAUUAGUCGGAUGAUAGAAGAAAUCACAUAAAGUUAGAUGAUCAAAAGAAAUAACAAUGGAUGUAUGAUUUUUAAUUCAAUGUUGAUUCCGGGGCUGGUAAGGUGUAAAUUGUAUAAAUUCCAUAAGGCGUUCAUAAAAAGAAGAAAAAGAGAAAUUGUAAUUCAGAUUAUGGAACUCCGAUCGUCAUACUCAUAGUAUUCCACAAUUUGUCCAUUUACGACGUAUGUUUCGUCAUUAAGAAGCUCGCCAACACGUUCGAGGGUAUUUCCUGCUGCUCCAGUAAGGUCGUAGAAGCAUGAUUUACAAUAUAAUUUCAAGCAGAGAACUAGCGGACAGUAUUAAUCUACAUUGUCCAUGGUCUUGCCUGGCAAUGUCAAAAUUAGAUUGUAAAAAAAUGUUGGAGAACGUAACAUUUGAUUUCAAUAAAAUUCAAAGAAUUCAAGCCGAACUAUAAGAUCACGAUAAAAGUUUAACGAUUGACUGCUUAGCUGUUGGGAGCAUUUUGAAAACUUUGAAGAGUGCGUACCUAAAAUUUGACUCAAAGAGUAAGCGAUGACGAGUAUACUGAUCAAAGACAGAGCAUGUGUGACUGUAAUAAUAUAAAAUUAAACUGUAACGAAACGACUGUUUUAUUUUUUAAUUUUAUUACUAACAGUGCUCAUCAUAACACAAAAUAUUGUACCAUUUAUCCAUGUCGAGUACACUCGUAAAGAACAGCUACCUGGUUAGGAACUGAUGUUACAAUACUGUUUAUUGCGCAGCAACGCAAAAUGAAAGUUCUUCUUUAUUUGAUACCAUUCAGUUGUGCAAAUUUAAUGAUAAAUUAUGUCUCCUUCUAAAUGCUUAGUUACGCGAGGAACGAGACCUGCUUACAAUCCGUGAAAGUAACCGAUAAUAUUCCCAAUAACCAGGUAAUAAGUAAAUGUGAUUGCAACAGCAAGCAUAAGACACCAACGGAAUGCGAUUUUUCUGAUGAUUGCAUAAUGAUGAAGAAUAUUGAUGUUCCGGCAACAAUGAACAAGAAAUUAAUUCAAAUAUUUGGUUGUUUCUACAUAUGUAUUACUGGAAAAAUUGUAUUGUGAUCGUUCCAAUUUCUUCCUCUUUUCAACGCCAAAAUUCUUUGCAAUUUGUCUACGUGGACAUUAAAUCAAUUCUUACGUUUAGUAUUGAAUUGAAUAUCACGUAGACGAUUUCUCCAUUGGGAAAACGUCUACAGACAAAUUCUAUCUUCCUAUCAGAUCUACCGGAUGAUCUCUUUGAAGUGUUCUCUGGAUGUGCUGGUUAUAUAAAUUAUUAAUCAAUGGGAUGCUAUGAGCUUUUAUUUUGCUUCUAUAAUUUACCAUCGUUUUGAUUAUUUUCUCGUCAACUGUAUCAAUAUUAACAACUACAUUAAUAUAUAAUAAAAAAAUAAUAUAUAACAAACUAUAAUAAUAAAACAAUAUGAACCACUAUAGCAAUAUUAACAACUAUAUUGUUAUAUAAUAAAAAAAUAAUAUAUAAUAAACUAUAAUGAUAAAAACAAUAUUAACAACUAUAGCAAUAUUAAUAAGGAUGCCUUUCACUAAUAGAAUUGGUAUAGGUUCUUUUUUGGAAAAAUUUGAGGAAGCACGAAUUUAUGUAUACCUUCUUAUUUGUAAACAAUUUACAAUUCCAAUCUUGUCUGUUCUAAUCGAUUGAAAUUUCAUUAAUAAAUGAAAUUGCGUAAACAUUUCUUUUGAAAGUGAUGUAAGUUCAUUCCUAAUCCUUCUCUUCACUAAUAAUGAAAAACAAAUGAUGAUUAAUGACAACGACGUAAUAUUACACGUAUGGAUAAAUGCGAUUCAAUGAUACGCUCGUAAAUUAUUAUUACACUUUAAGUAUUAUCGAAUUAAUAACAGUCUCACAUUUA